GAAAGAUGAAAAGAACUUUGAAAAGAGAGUUAAACAGUACGUGAAAUUGUUGAAAGGGAAACGAUUGAAGUCAGUCGUACCAGCGGGAAAUCAACCUUUCGAGUGGGGGUUUUGGAGUUUUGAAGAGUGUUAAAACCUUUGAGAUUUCAAAAAUUUCGCUCUUUUGGUGUACUUUCUCGUGGGUAGGUUAACAUCGAUUUUGAUCAUCAUAAAAAGAUUGGAGGAAUGUAGCUUCGAUCUUGUAUUGAAGUGUUAUA
rnacentral:rRNA from 1 species